rnacentral:misc_RNA from 1 species
GAUGAAGAACGAGCGAAAUGCGAUAAGUAAUGUGAAUUGCAGAAUUCAGUGAAUCAUCGAAUCUUUGAACGCACAUUGCGCCCGCCAGUAUUCUGGCGGGCAUGCCUGUUCGAGCGUCAUUUCAACCAUCAAGCCCCAGGCUUGUGUUGGGGACCUGCGGCUGCCGCAGGCCCUGAAAACCAGUGGCGGGCUCGCUGUCACACCGGGCGUAGUAGAUUUUAUCUCGCUCUGGGCGUGCUGCGGGUUCCGGCCGUUAAAAAACCCUUUUAACCCAAGGUUGACCUCGGAUCAGGUAGGAAUACCCGCUGAACUUAAGCAUAUCAAUAAGCGGAGGA